GCAGUCGAACGAACUCUGGUAUUGAUUGGUGCUUGCAUCAUGAUUUACAUUUGAGUGAGUGGCGAACUGGUGAGUAACACGUGGGAAACCUGCCCAGAAGCGGGGGAUAACACCUGGAAACAGAUGCUAAUACCGCAUAACAACUUGGACCGCAUGGUCCGAGUUUGAAAGAUGGCUUCGGCUAUCACUUUUGGAUGGUCCCGCGGCGUAUUAGCUAGAUGGUGGGGUAACGGCUCACCAUGGCAAUGAUACGUAGCCGACCUGAGAGGGUAAUCGGCCACAUUGGGACUGAGACACGGCCCAAACUCCUACGGGAGGCAGCAGUAGGGAAUCUUCCACAAUGGACGAAAGUCUGAUGGAGCAACGCCGCGUGAGUGAAGAAGGGUUUCGGCUCGUAAAACUCUGUUGUUAAAGAAGAACAUAUCUGAGAGUAACUGUUCAGGUAUUGACGGUAUUUAACCAGAAAGCCACGGCUAACUACGUGCCAGCAGCCGCGGUAAUACGUAGGUGGCAAGCGUUGUCCGGAUUUAUUGGGCGUAAAGCGAGCGCAGGCGGUUUUUUAAGUCUGAUGUGAAAGCCUUCGGCUCAACCGAAGAAGUGCAUCGGAAACUGGGAAACUUGAGUGCAGAAGAGGACAGUGGAACUCCAUGUGUAGCGGUGAAAUGCGUAGAUAUAUGGAAGAACACCAGUGGCGAAGGCGGCUGUCUGGUCUGUAACUGACGCUGAGGCUCGAAAGUAUGGGUAGCAAACAGGAUUAGAUACCCUGGUAGUCCAUACCGUAAACGAUGAAUGCUAAGUGUUGGAGGGUUUCCGCCCUUCAGUGCUGCAGCUAACGCAUUAAGCAUUCCGCCUGGGGAGUACGGCCGCAAGGCUGAAACUCAAAGGAAUUGACGGGGGCCCGCACAAGCGGUGGAGCAUGUGGUUUAAUUCGAAGCUACGCGAAGAACCUUACCAGGUCUUGACAUACUAUGCAAAUCUAAGAGAUUAGACGUUCCCUUCGGGGACAUGGAUACAGGUGGUGCAUGGUUGUCGUCAGCUCGUGUCGUGAGAUGUUGGGUUAAGUCCCGCAACGAGCGCAACCCUUAUUAUCAGUUGCCAGCAUUAAGUUGGGCACUCUGGUGAGACUGCCGGUGACAAACCGGAGGAAGGUGGGGAUGACGUCAAAUCAUCAUGCCCCUUAUGACCUGGGCUACACACGUGCUACAAUGGAUGGUACAACGAGUUGCGAACUCGCGAGAGUAAGCUAAUCUCUUAAAGCCAUUCUCAGUUCGGAUUGUAGGCUGCAACUCGCCUACAUGAAGUCGGAAUCGCUAGUAAUCGCGGAUCAGCAUGCCGCGGUGAAUACGUUCCCGGGCCUUGUACACACCGCCCGUCACACCAUGAGAGUUUGUAACACCCAAAGUCGGUGGGGUAACCU
rnacentral:rRNA from 2 species